rnacentral:rRNA from 1 species
UACGUAGGGUGCGAGCGUUAAUCGGAAUUACUGGGCGUAAAGCGUGCGCAGGCGGUUCGUUGUGUCUGAUGUGAAAGCCCCGGGCUCAACCUGGGAAUGGCAUUGGAAACUGGCGAGCUAGAGUGUGGCAGAGGGGGGGUGGAAUUCCGCGUGUAGCAGUGAAAUGCGUAGAGAUGCGGAGGAACACCGAUGGCGAAGGCAAUCCCCUGGGCCUGCACUGACGCUCAUGCACGAAAGCGUGGGGAGCAAACAGG